rnacentral:rRNA from 1 species
UACGGGGGAUGCGAGCGUUAUCCGGAUUUAUUGGGUUUAAAGGGUGCGUAGGCGGGCUUUUAAGUCAGCGGUAAAAAUUCGGGGCUCAACCCCGUCCGGCCGUUGAAACUGGGGGCCUUGAGUGGGCGAGAAGAAGGCGGAAUGCGUGGUGUAGCGGUGAAAUGCAUAGACAUCACGCAGAACCCCGAUUGCGAAGGCAGCCUUCCGGCGCCCUACUGACGCUGAGGCACGAAAGUGCGGGGAUCGAACAGG